GAUGAACGCUGGCGGCGUGCCUAAUACAUGCAAGUCGAGCGAACAGACGAGGAGCUUGCUCCUCUGACGUUAGCGGCGGACGGGUGAGUAACACGUGGAUGACCUACCUAUAAGACUGGGAUAACUUCGGGAAACCGGAGCUAAUACCGGAUAAUAUAUUGAACCGCAUGGUUCAAUAGUGAAAGACGGUUUUGCUGUCACUUAUAGAUGGAUCCGCGCCGCAUUAGCUAGUUGGUAAGGUAACGGCUUACCAAGGCGACGAUGCGUAGCCGACCUGAGAGGGUGAUCGGCCACACUGGAACUGAGACACGGUCCAGACUCCUACGGGAGGCAGCAGUAGGGAAUCUUCCGCAAUGGGCGAAAGCCUGACGGAGCAACGCCGCGUGAGUGAUGAAGGUCUUCGGAUCGUAAAACUCUGUUAUUAGGGAAGAACAAAUGUGUAAGUAACUAUGCACGUCUUGACGGUACCUAAUCAGAAAGCCACGGCUAACUACGUG
rnacentral:rRNA from 1 species